rnacentral:rRNA from 1 species
UGGCGGCAGGCUUAACAUAUGCAAGUCGAGCGGUAGCAGAUCUAGCUUGCUAGAUGCUGACGAGCGGCGGACGGGUGAGUAACGCGUAGGAACCUGCCCAGUAGUGGGGGAUAGCCCGGGGAAACUCGGAUUAAUACCGCAUACGCUCUACGGAGGAAAGAGGGGGCUUCGGCUCUCGCUAUUGGAUGGGCCUGCGUGAGAUUAGCUAGUUGGUGAGGUAAUGGCUCACCAAGGCGACGAUCUCUAGCUGGUCUGAGAGGAUGAUCAGCCACACUGGGACUGAGACACGGCCCAGACUCCUACGGGAGGCAGCAGUGGGGAAUAUUGCACAAUGGGCGCAAGCCUGAUGCAGCCAUGCCGCGUGUGUGAAGAAGGCUUUCGGGUUGUAAAGCACCUUCAGUGGGGAGGAAGGCCUCGUAGUUAAUAGCUGCGAGGAUUGACGUUACCCACAGAAGAAGCACCGGCUAACUCCGUG